rnacentral:miRNA from 14 species
GUGCUUGGCACCUGGUAGGGACUCAGUAAAAAGCUUUUGGGCCAAGCACAGCUUAGGUCAGUCAGGAGAGCACUUAUUCUGGGAGCCUCAGGGA